rnacentral:rRNA from 1 species
GGUGAGAUUGCAUGAUAGCACCAUUAAAGAUUUAUUGGUAAACGAUGGGGAUGCGUUCCAUUAGGUAGUAGGCGGGGUAACGGCCCACCUAGCCGACGAUGGAUAGGGGUUCUGAGAGGAAGGUCCCCCACAUUGGAACUGAGACACGGUCCAAACUCCUACGGGAGGCAGCAGUGAGGAAUAUUGGUCAAUGGGCGAGAGCCUGAACCAGCCAAGUAGCGCGAAGGAUGAAGGUCCUACGGAUUGUAAACUUCUUUUAUACGGGAAUAAAGUAUCCUACGUGUAGGAUUUUGUAUGUACCGUAUGAAUAAGCAUCGGCUAACUCCGUGCCAGCAGCCGCGGUAAUACGGAGGAUGCAAGCGUUAUCCGGAUUUAUUGGGUUUAAAGGGUGCGCAGACGGGAGAUUAAGUCAGUUGUGAAAGUUUGCGGCUCAACCGUAAAAUUGCAGUUGAUACUGGUUUCCUUGAGUGCAGUUGAGGCAGGCGGAAUUCGUGGUGUAGCGGUGAAAUGCUUAGAUAUCACGAAGAACCCCGAUUGCGAAGGCAGCUUGCUAAACUGUAACUGACGUUCAUGCUCGAAAGUGUGGGUAUCAAACAGGAUUAGAUACCCUGGUAGUCCACACGG